AUAACGUAUUCAGGCGCCUUUAAUUCCGUUAGAAAAAUUGGAAGAACGAGUUGCAGCGGCUACAGGUGUGAGUGAAGCUGCGUACCUAUACCUUAGGCAGUAUACCAAGAAGAAUUUCUCGCACCUGCAGCGAUUUUAGACGAAAUAAUGAUGAUUAAUGACAUCUUCUUCUU